AUGGUCUGAGUUCAGUCCCUGGAACCACCCUUCUGACCUCUUCGAGGACACCAUGGUGUAGGUGCACCUCUCCCCAAUAAAUAAAAGGGAAAACAGGGGUGGACCAUGGAAUGCAGGAAGGCCAGAAGAACCAGAAGAGUGAGUAGCAAAAAAAGGAAAGACGUUAGUGACAGCAAAUGCAGCUGCAGAGAAGUCAUAGCCCACUUCAGUUCCACAGAAGCAAUUUUUGACUGCUUGAGAGGCCUUCACUGAAGCUGUGUUGUAAGAUGUAAAGCAGAGUCCAUACUAUCUCCAA
rnacentral:lncRNA from 1 species